UGGAGUUCUCAGAGUUCUGGCUGAGAGCAGGUGCUGCAGCCAGCUGUUCUAGCUGAGGAUGGACUGCCUGGCCUAGCUGUCAAAGUCUGAGUUCCGGGUAUACAGCAAACAUUUAUGGAAAACCACGUAUGUGCUGUAGUUACCACUGCAACUCGUCUAAAAGCAGCAAUUCCUGUGAAGUCUUGACUAUUUUUCGUAAUGAAUAAAUCCUAAACAUGUAGACAUGCAGACUGCUGCUGCCGUGCCACCUCUGCUGUUGUGUCCCCACCUCAAACCAUGGAGACUGUCCCCAGUUUCUGCACCUUUCUGGAUCUCAAUCUUCCUGAGUUCUAAAGGGCCGACCGGCGAUGGAGAAAGAAGGCUCAAAUGUAUUUGGGGACUUGACGCCUACUUGUGCCACAUCAGUUUAAUUUUCCAUUAAAGAAUCUUCUGCAUCAGGAACUUCCUGAAGGACCCACCAACUCUUCAUUGGAAAGGAUCAACAGUUUGUCUUUUAAGAUUCUUGGAAUCCCAUGCUCUCAAAAUCCUCACCUUGAUGAUUCCACUGAUCCUGGACUAUUGUAUUGUGAUUCUUACUUGGUCCUAGUCAAGUCCCUACAUCGAAAGACCCACCUUAAACUACCCUUGCGAUUUUUGAUAAAUUUUUACUUCACCUUAUACCAUCUGAGACACUACAAAGCUGAUGUGAUGUUCUCUCCUACUAUACUAAGUAAUUAACUAAACUUGUCUUAUCAACAAGCUGUGUUGGUGAUAUUUGGGUAACCAGCUUUUGAUAUAAUGAGAAGUGGUUACCUGUUUUGUAGGUGGGUAUAUGUAUGUAAGGGUACUGGACAGAUGAUAGAAGAGGGGUGGAGAAAAGGUAUAGUUUGUUUUACCUUUUUAUUUUUCUUCACUGAAAAUUUUUUAUACUGCUGAAU